AUAUCAAGCUUUGCAGUAUUUUAAUGUAUCUAGUCCUAUUGUUGGGCAGCUGCAUUGGCACUCUAGGUCACGGUAGGGUUCUUUGCUCUGAAUUAUCAGACAGGUCAGAUGAGUGUAGGUAAGGAAGGAAUUCGUUAAAGCGAGAGUAGCAGCUUCCUUGCAGGCAGCAGAAAGCAAGGGAAAUAAAUGGAAGAAAGGGAAGCUCACUGAACUUCUUGGCAUAGGGCAGAUCCUCUUGCCAACUCCUGAAGCCAGGGUCACCUGGCAUCCAGUGUCCACUUGGAUCUGCAUGGCAUGGGAACUAAGCCCCCACCACCUGAGGAUUUGGAGGAGCUACAGAGCACCAGAUGGACUCCCUCUGUCUCCUGGCCUAUGUUGAUGACUCCCUGUGUUGCCCUGCACGGUGCACAGCCCUCCGGUUUCUAGAGAUCUAGCUCCCUACUGGCCAAAACCAUCCUAAGGCCAAUGGAAAGGAAGCCCACUGAGGUACUCUACAAGUCCUCAGGAGGCCGGGAACAAAAGAUGUCCACACAGUGGAGACCACCUAUCAAGAAAAUGAGGAUGGAAGAGCAAGUUUAUCAGGAAAAUAUGGUUGCCAAACAAUAGCUGACCUCGGUGGAUGUGGUCAAGAGAGCGUCCUGGUCAGCUUCCAGCAGGACCCACCGAGAGGCCCUGGCAGACCAGGGUGAGGCUGUCCCCUCGGGUGGCUGGCUGUCUCCUGUGCUCCAGGCAGUCUCCGCAGAGCUCCUCCUCUGGAUCCUAAUAACUUCCCCCUUCGGAACCCUUCAGGGGCGGUUAUGCUCCUCUAGCCCCAGGAAUCCUCACUCUCCCUCCCUGCUUUCCCUCACCACAAAUGCGCAUUUGAAAAUGGUCUUUGUGUUAAACUCUACCCAAGUAUGUUUGAGGGUACUGCCAGCAUCUUCCAAGGAACCCCAACAAAGACAGACUGAAGAGAUCGUGCCUCCUAGGGAAUGUGAGGGUCCUGAAAUAGGAGCAAGGCCAGGGAAUGGGUCAUUCUUGAGAACAGUUCAUUUUCCUUUGUUCUGUGAGGCAUAAUAUUUAACAGACAAAUAAAAAAUUUUCUAAUUCUUUUCAACUACCCUCCCCCUUUGGUGACUUCUGAUAGUAGGCUUAGCUCCUGGUGCGGUGCUUCGGGAGGCUAAUGGAAGGGUUGGAACUGGCUGCGUGGACCCUCCCACCUCGCUCCUCUCUCAGCAGAGGCACACGGGGUGGCGAACUGUUUACAGAGCACAGCAGUGCCCUCGAGAUCUAGGUAGGGACCUGACAGAAGGCGUGUGGUGACCCACGGGGGCAACAGGAAGCGGCUGCUAAGGGGUGACUGGGUAGCGGAUGUGAGGCAGAUGCCUUUUGGUCUGUGCUCCAGACCAAGCACAGCCACUGAAGCUGCAAAGACUGAGAUGGUGCUGCGGCGGGAUGGCGGUAGCCACAGGGCACAUCCUUAGGCCCGCAGUGGGCGCGUCUGUAGAGGCGUGAGAGGCCCAAAGGCCAUGGUUCCUUUGCUCCUUUCCUCAGGGUCACUCCGAUGGAACUGAGAGGUUAACAAAUUUAAGAGGAAUAGUAGCAAUUGCCACUACAUUUACUGAGCCCUUAAGUGCCAGGCACGAGGCUUUAUAUGGAUUAUCUCUUCUACUCUUAUUAACAAGUGUAUGAAGUCGAAGCUACUAUUGUACCCAUCCUAGUGAGACUCAGUUGAGAGGGAUUAAGUAACUUGGCCAAAGUCACUGAGACCUUGGCUGAGUUCUUGUGGCUUCUGAGUGCAGGCUUUAGACCUCUCAGGAAUAAAGUGGUUAGCUUCACCCGUCCUGCCCUCUGCUGGCUGGGAGACUCAAGCAGCCGUCUUGGGUCACGAGGUGGCCGCUGCAUGCCCAAGACCGCAGGCCAGCAGGGUAGAAUGGAUGUGGCCUCUGACAAUUUUGUGAAGCCAGUACCAGUUCUGGAAUGCCUAUCUCCAGUCAUCUAUCUUGAUUAAGCCAUUUGUGUUUGGGGUUUUCUCUCCCUUGAAGCUGAAUCGACAUCUGACUAAUACACAUUAAGGAUUUCGGUUGAU